rnacentral:tRNA from 1 species
UCCCUGGUAUCUCAGUUGGUAAAGAAUCUGCCUGCAAUGCAGGAGACCCAGUUCAAUUCCUGGCUCAGAAA